GGAGCCGAAGGGAAACCGAGUCUUAACUGGGCGUUAAGUUGCAGGGUAUAGACCCGAAACCCGGUGAUCUAGCCAUGGGCAGGUUGAAGGUUGGGUAACACUAACUGGAGGACCGAACCGACUAAUGUUGAAAAAUUAGCGGAUGACUUGUGGCUGGGGGUGAAAGGCCAAUCAAACCGGGAGAUAGCUGGUUCUCCCCGAAAGCUAUUUAGGUAGCGCCUCGUGAAUUCAUCUCCGGGGGUAGAGCACUGUUUCGGCAAGGGGGUCAUCCCGACUUACCAACCCGAUGCAAACUGCGAAUACCGGAGAAUGUUAUCACGGGAGACACACGGCGGGUGCUAACGUCCGUCGUGAAGAGGGAAACAACCCAGACCGCCAGCUAAGGUCCCAAAGUCAUGGUUAAGUGGGAAACGAUGUGGGAAGGCCCAGACAGCCAGGAUGUUGGCUUAGAAGCAGCCAUCAUUUAAAGAAAGCGUAAUAGCUCACUGGUCGAGUCGGCCUGCGCGGAAGAUGUAACGGGGCUAAACCAUGCACCGAAGCUGCGGCAGCGACGCUUAUGCGUUGUUGGGUAGGGGAGCGUUCUGUAAGCCUGCGAAGGUGUGCUGUGAGGCAUGCUGGAGGUAUCAGAAGUGCGAAUGCUGACAUAAGUAACGAUAAAGCGGGUGAAAAGCCCGCUCGCCGGAAGACCAAGGGUUCCUGUCCAACGUUAAUCGGGGCAGGGUGAGUCGACCCCUAAGGCGAGGCCGAAAGGCGUAGUCGAUGGGAAACAGGUUAAUAUUCCUGUACUUGGUGUUACUGCGAAGGGGGGACGGAGAAGGCUAUGUUGGCCGGGCGACGGUUGUCCCGGUUUAAGCGUGUAGGCUGGUUUUCCAGGCAAAUCCGGAAAAUCAAGGCUGAGGCGUGAUGACGAGGCACUACGGUGCUGAAGCAACAAAUGCCCUGCUUCCAGGAAAAGCCUCUAAGCAUCAGGUAACAUCAAAUCGUACCCCAAACCGACACAGGUGGUCAGGUAGAGAAUACCAAGGCGCUUGAGAGAACUCGGGUGAAGGAACUAGGCAAAAUGGUGCCGUAACUUCGGGAGAAGGCACGCUGAUAUGUAGGUGAAGCGACUUGCUCGUGGAGCUGAAAUCAGUCGAAGAUACCAGCUGGCUGCAACUGUUUAUUAAAAACACAGCACUGUGCAAACACGAAAGUGGACGUAUACGGUGUGACGCCUGCCCGGUGCCGGAAGGUUAAUUGAUGGGGUUAGCGGUAACGCGAAGCUCUUGAUCGAAGCCCCGGUAAACGGCGGCCGUAACUAUAACGGUCCUAAGGUAGCGAAAUUCCUUGUCGGGUAAGUUCCGACCUGCACGAAUGGCGUAAUGAUGGCCAGGCUGUCUCCACCCGAGACUCAGUGAAAUUGAACUCGCUGUGAAGAUGCAGUGUACCCGCGGCAAGACGGAAAGACCCCGUGAACCUUUACUAUAGCUUGACACUGAACAUUGAGCCUUGAUGUGUAGGAUAGGUGGGAGGCUUUGAAGUGUGGACGCCAGUCUGCAUGGAGCCGACCUUGAAAUACCACCCUUUAAUGUUUGAUGUUCUAACGUUGGCCCCUGAUCGGGGUUGCGGACAGUGUCUGGUGGGUAGUUUGACUGGGGCGGUCUCCUCCUAAAGAGUAACGGAGGAGCACGAAGGUUGGCUAAUCCUGGUCGGACAUCAGGAGGUUAGUGCAAUGGCAUAAGCCAGCUUGACUGCGAGCGUGACGGCGCGAGCAGGUGCGAAAGCAGGUCAUAGUGAUCCGGUGGUUCUGAAUGGAAGGGCCAUCGCUCAACGGAUAAAAGGUACUCCGGGGAUAACAGGCUGAUACCGCCCAAGAGUUCAUAUCGACGGCGGUGUUUGGCACCUCGAUGUCGGCUCAUCACAUCCUGGGGCUGAAGUAGGUCCCAAGGGUAUGGCUGUUCGCCAUUUAAAGUGGUACGCGAGCUGGGUUUAGAACGUCGUGAGACAGUUCGGUCCCUAUCUGCCGUGGGCGCUGGAGAACUGAGGGGGGCUGCUCCUAGUACGAGAGGACCGGAGUGGACGCAUCACUGGUGUUCGGGUUGUCAUGCCAAUGGCACUGCCCGGUAGCUAAAUGCGGAAGAGAUAAGUGCUGAAAGCAUCUAAGCACGAAACUUGCCCCGA
rnacentral:rRNA from 1 species